rnacentral:rRNA from 1 species
GACGAACGCUGGCGGCGUGCCUAAUACAUGCAAGUAGAACGCUGAAGGAGGAGCUUGCUUCUCUGGAUGAGUUGCGAACGGGUGAGUAACGCGUAGGUAACCCGCCUGGUAGCGGGGGAUAACUAUUGGAAACGAUAGCUAAUACCGCAUAAUAGUAGAUGUUGCAUGACAUUUGCUUAAAAGGUGCAAUUGCAUCACUACCAGAUGGACCUGCGUUGUAUUAGCUAGUUGGUGGGGUAACGGCUCACCAAGGCGACGAUACAUAGCCGACCUGAGAGGGUGAUCGGCCACACUGGGACUGAGACACGGCCCAGACUCCUACGGGAGGCAGCAGUAGGGAAUCUUCGGCAAUGGACGGAAGUCUGACCGAGCAACGCCGCGUGAGUGAAGAAGGUUUUCGGAUCGUAAAGCUCUGUUGUAAGAGAAGAACGAGUGUGAGAGUGGAAAGUUCACACUGUGACGGUAUCUUACCAGAAAGGGACGGCUAACUACGUGCCAGCAGCCGCGGUAAUACGUAGGUCCCGAGCGUUGUCCGGAUUUAUUGGGCGUAAAGCGAGCGCAGGCGGUUAGAUAAGUCUGAAGUUAAAGGCUGUGGCUUAACCAUAGUACGCUUUGGAAACUGUUUAACUUGAGUGCAAGAGGGGAGAGUGGAAUUCCAUGUGUAGCGGUGAAAUGCGUAGAUAUAUGGAGGAACACCGGUGGCGAAAGCGGCUCUCUGGCUUGUAACUGACGCUGAGGCUCGAAAGCGUGGGGAGCAAACAGG